AUCUUCUAAUUUGUCUUUGUCCAGUUGUCUGUAUGGUGCAAGACCUAUUUGCCACGAAGUUUCUUUUUUUCUUGCAGAAGAUUUACUAGGAUUCAUUAAGAUACAGAUCAACUGGUUGUUUGGGCAUCCACGGACAAGAUUUCUUUUUUCUGUUAAGGGAAAUCAACAUUUUCCACUAAUGUUGCUUAUCAACAGGAAUUUCAGCACUGAAGGAAGUAACACAGUCUUCACCUCCUAACAAAUGAAAGUUAUUAACGUUUCCUUGUGAGACACACUGGAUCCCCUCAACUGCAGGUCCAUCAUGAAGGGAUGUAUGUGAGUUUGCUGGUUGAAGAGAGAGCUGGGCAGAGGGGAAAAAUAUUCCACAUCUUGACAAAGCUUACAUAUUUGAAAAUCUGGCCUCAAGAUGAAUCACCUGGAUUUCUGCAUCAUUUCACCACAUCCCAUAUUAUUAUCCUAAAGAAAUAAAUGGAUAUUCCUAUAGGAGCAACUGAAUUCCUUGCAAAUAUUUUCAUGAAAUCAAACCAAAAUGGGAGGUAGGUUGUGAAGUUGUAUUAAGCCUGCUGCCUGAUUCUCAUUAGACUCAUUCUACAUUCUUUUGAGU
rnacentral:lncRNA from 1 species